CACGACAGUCAGGCUUCAGAGUCUGGACGCUGGAGGCAGGCGCUUGACUGGAUAUCCCAGCUCUAACAUCAGCUGUGUGACCUUGAGUAUAUCACUUAGCCUCUCUGUGCCUCAGUCUCAUGUGGAUAAAGCUGAUUAUCAUCCUCAAGUGGGGAACAAAUUUGUAUGUCCUGGUAGGUCACCAUGAGGAUUGAAUGAGCUUAAUUACUUAGAAGAGUCCCAAGUGUCAUUCUGUCCCUCCAAAGCCCAUUCCCUUCCCACACCCUGAGGAAGUUAUGCUUUUUAAAAUUUUCAUGUUCUUCCUCAUGCCAUUCCCUUUGCCUGAAAUGUUCUUCCUUCCUUAUCCUUCUGGCCAGUUGAAGCUCGCGCUUUUAACACUCUGCCCAAAUGUCCCCUCCCCCAGGCAGAAAAGCGUUCCUUCUGUCAUAGCCCCUAUGGGACCAGGUCACAGGGAUGCCUUCAGCUGCAAGAUGCGGAAACCCCAAACGAGCAGGCUUAAGUGGUGGGGUGAUCUGGGUCUCACAGAACUGUAGGCCCAGGGGCGGGGCCUUUGGGGAAGGCUCAGCACCUGUUCUCCACAGCAAUCUUGGCUCUGCUUCCUCUGUGGGCAGACAGCCUCUCUGGGCAGGGAACGAGACGGCUCUGGGCUCACGCCCCUCCAGGACGGCGGCCGGAAGAGGAGGCAGAGGGUCGAUCCUGGACGCUCUCUGGACGAGAGAGAAACCGUGGUCCCGGAGCCCCCAGAAACCUCUAUUCCAGCUUUGGCGACCCACAUCCGAUCACCAGCCAGGAGCGGAUGCCACCACGACGGGGGCGGCAGUCGGGGCUACCCCUGGGGGAGGAACACCGGGCAGCUGGUGGGGUGGUGGGUCGUGGGUCCCGGAUCAGGGCGCUGGUAGGAGGGAGGACGUGACCAGGCUGGGCAGACGGGCGAUGAACGGGGGCAGGGUCAUUGAACCGUCUUGCGCAGGAACGGUGGGCACGGCCCGUCUUCUCCUCCCUGUACCCCUGGCCCGGCACACCUACUACUCACUUGCUGGGAGCCCUUUCUUCAGAUGGAAUACUUGGCAGGAGCCAAAGAUGAGGAACAUACUUGAUGGACCAGCUUUGAGGUCUCCACACAGCACGCCCUUCCUUCCCCAGAUGGCAAAGUCCCCAACUCAAGGACCGCGUCCCUUGCCCCCGUCUACAGCCAGUAUUGACCAAGGAGACCUGGACAAAAGUUGUUGAGUGGGAAGGCACGCUCUUUAGUGCAUCGUCUCUCCUUUCCACUGCAAUUCUUUCUGCUUCCUGCCCAGAAUGAAGACUUGAUGGCUGGAGCUCCAGUGGCUAUUUUGGAGCACGUGGCCCACUUAAGGGUAGACGGUGCACCAAAGUGGCAGAGCAGAAAGGUGGAAGUCUGAGUUGCUGAGGACUUUAAGGAGCUUCCCAAUCAUUGCUGGGCUUCUUUAUAUGAGAGAAAAGUAAAAGUCUAUCUUGUUUAAGCCA